UCUCCCUCUGAUUGGCUAGUAAUCCUGAUUGGCGCCAGAGCUAUGUAUUGGUGUUUAGGAAUGAGGACCGUCAGAGUUAGGGUCAGGGGUUAGCCAAUCAGAACCAGAGUAGGGGGCGGGCAUUGUCAUCAUCGCGGGAAUCCUGACACGCUCCACAACAGCUGAUGCUCCUGGACAGGUUGGAGUAACCAGCAUCCCUCCACUCACCAACCCUCCAUCAUCCCUGCCAACCAGCCACCCAUCAGCCAACUGGCCGCUUGUCCUCUCAAACAACCCUCCACCAGUCCUGCCAUGCAGCCUCCCAGUGCCAUGUUGAAUCAGGAAGCAACCAUUCAAUCACUGGAGGAGAGAAGUAUUACCCGGUGAAGAAGGGGAACGUAAUGGAACUGGUGGAGCGGGAGCCCUGUUCCAUGUGUGGGAAGACGUGGCGCUUGCAGUGUGUGCCAAAGGAGAACACCGGGAGUUGACAUACAUACACACAACAUGAAUAUACACAAAACGCAUACACACACACAAAUGUGACAUAAAAG